GAUGAACGCUGGCGGCGUGCCUAAUACAUGCAAGUCGAACGAACAGACGAGGAGCUUGCUCCUCUCACGUUAGCCGCGGACGGGUGAGUAACACGUGUAUAACCUACCUAUAAGACUGGGAUAACUUCGGGAAACCGGAACUAAUCCCGGAUAAUCUAUUGAACCGCAUUGGUCAAUAGUGAAAGACGGCUUUUCUGUCACGUAUAGAUGGAUCCGCGCCGCAUUAGCUAGUUGGUAAGGUAACGGCUUACCAAGGCAACGAUGCGUAGCCGACCGGAGAGGGGGAUCGGCCACACUGGAACUGAGACACGGUCCAGACUCCUACGGGAGGCAGCAGUCGGGAAUCUGACGCAGUGGGCGAGAGCAUGACGGAGCAACGCCGCGUGAGUGAUGAAGGUCUUGGGAUCGUAAAACUCUGUUAUUAGGGAAGAACAAAUGUGUAAGUAAAUAUGCACGUAUUGACGGUACCUAAUAAGAAAGCCACGGCUAACUACGUG
rnacentral:rRNA from 1 species